CCUACGGGGCGCAGCAGUGGGGAAUAUUGCACAAUGGGGGAAACCCUGAUGCAGCGACGCCGCGUGAGUGAAGAAGUAUUUCGGUACGUAAAGCUCUAUCAGCAGGGAAGAAAAUGACGGUACCUGACUAAGAAUCCCCGGCUAACUACGUGCCAGCAGCCGCGGUAAUACGGAGGGGGCAAUCGUUAUCCGGAUUUACUGGGUGUAAAGGGAGCGUAGACGGCAGCGCAAGUCUGGAGUGAAAUCCCAUGGCUUAACCAUGGAACUGCGUUGGAAACUGUGCAGCUAGAGUGCAGGAGAGGUAAGCGGAAUUCCUAGUGUAGCGGUGAAAUGCGUAGAUAUUAGGAGGAACACCAGUGGCGAAGGCGGCUUACUGGACUGUAACUGACGUUGAGGCUCGAAAGCGUGGGGAGCAAACAGGAUUAGAUACCCGAGUAGUC
rnacentral:rRNA from 1 species